rnacentral:rRNA from 1 species
CGAGCGGCGGACGGGUGAGUAACACGUGGGUAACCUGCCCAAGAGACUGGGAUAACACCUGGAAACAGAUGCUAAUACCGGAUAACAACACUAGACGCAUGUCUAGAGUUUGAAAGAUGGUUCUGCUAUCACUCUUGGAUGGACCUGCGGUGCAUUAGCUAGUUGGUAAGGUAACGGCUUACCAAGGCAAUGAUGCAUAGCCGAGUUGAGAGACUGAUCGGCCACAUUGGGACUGAGACACGGCCCAAACUCCUACGGGAGGCAGCAGUAGGGAAUCUUCCACAAUGGACGAAAGUCUGAUGGAGCAACGCCGCGUGAGUGAAGAAGGGUUUCGGCUCGUAAAGCUCUGUUGGUAGUGAAGAAAGAUAGAGGUAGUAACUGGCCUUUAUUUGACGGUAAUUACUUAGAAAGUCACGGCUAACUACGUGCCAGCAGCCGCGGUAAUACGUAGGUGGCAAGCGUUGUCCGGAUUUAUUGGGCGUAAAGCGAGUGCAGGCGGUUCAAUAAGUCUGAUGUGAAAGCCUUCGGCUCAACCGGAGAAUUGCAUCAGAAACUGUUGAACUUGAGUGCAGAAGAGGAGAGUGGAACUCCAUGUGUAGCGGUGGAAUGCGUAGAUAUAUGGAAGAACACCAGUGGCGAAGGCGGCUCUCUGGUCUGCAACUGACGCUGAGGCUCGAAAGCAUGGGUAGCGAACAGGAUUAGAUACCCUGGUAGUCCAUGCCGUAAACGAUGAGUGCUAAGUGUUGGGAGGUUUCCGCCUCUCAUUGCUGCAGCUAACGCAUUAAGCACUCCGCC